rnacentral:lncRNA from 1 species
UCUCACUUUUAGGUCCUUUUAACUGCAUAUGUUUUUAGCUAACAGAAUGACAAGUUGGGAUGGGACAUCUUUCUUGCUUUCUGGAUUUAUGCAUUUUUCAUGCAAAGCUGCUCUAUUAUGGCAGCUUAAAUGGAUCCAAAGUGGUGAACUCUGAUAAAUUACACCCUUUUGUGGUAAGUUUGCAGAAACCUGAUAAAUUAGGGGAGCUUCAUUAAUUACAGUUUCAAGAAAUACGGUGAUAAGGAAUAAGAAACAGGUUCAGAAUCCAGGGAUAAGUUGGGCAACACAGCUUAAUGCUCUCUAUGUUUAGUUGAUAAAGAGAGGGGAAGAGAGGGCUGGUGGGGGCGCUGAUUUAAGGGGACUCCUGAAGGAUUGCACUCAAGGAUUGCAGUAUUGGUAGAGAAGAUUAAAUUUAGCUUCACUGGCAUGGCAUAUAACGUAGUAGCUGCUCUGGUAAGAUUCUGAAUAAGUUUUGUUGAACAAUAGCAUGAUAGCAUAUAUAAAUCAGAAAAUUAUUAUAGAAGGAUGAGAUUGCACAUAUCAUCAGCAGAGGGCAUUGCCUUGUCCUAAUUUUAGAUCAACAUCUGACCUAGCUGAAAUUAUUGAAAAUGUCAAGGUCAGCAAUCUUGUUACGUAAAUAUCAAAUGCAAUAACUUCCUAUUGAAUGGACAAAAUCUGGCUCCUCUUUCAAUAUGCAUAUUUAUAAUAAAAAAAUCAAAUUUCAAUCGGUAUUAAAAAAAUAAAAGCCUUUCGAAAAUAAGGAAGGUACAUUGUGCUGAACUCUCUAGAUCUUUAGCUCGUAAGAACAAAGAGGCAUUCAAGAAAUUCAAUCAGUUUUAGCACGGUUGCUUUCAUGCAUGUGUCGUUCAUGUCUUUGUUGAAGUGCAGGUUCCCAAACUGUCAAAAAAAUUAGUGUUAACAAAAAAAAAAAAA